UGUGAGGCUUGAUCCUGUAGUUGUGCUCUGAGCAUGCCUACUGGAUUAGGGCCCGCAGGACACCUAACUUGAAGAUCCCUCUGCAGUGAGAGUUAGGUGCCAGGGAUCAGGAUUUAUACAGCUGUGCAUAUGCCCACUGACAGAAAUUCAAGCACUGAGGACUUUUAGGAAUUGCAGGAUUAGGCAGCCGCUGAAUGGAGGAGUUUUGAAGAUCUAGAUUUUGGACUUAAGUAUCUAAUGAGGCAGAUAUCAUCUGCUGAGAAAGAGCUGGGUGGUCACUGGUAAAUCAUUUGUCAUUGUCCUGAGAGAGAAAGCAAAGCGUAGGUGCUGGCCCAUGAACAAACUGGCUUGCUGAGGCUAUCACAUUGAACUGCAGAGGACUGCAGCCUAAAACCCCAAUCUUAAGAGAGAAGGGACAUGGGUCCUUGCCCACAGAGAGGUGAAGGCUAGAUGCCUAAGACCUCAAUGGGCAUACUUAGACCUCAUCAUGGAGAGGCUAAAAGAUGCCCAGUAAACAGAAAAUGGCCCUAGAGACUUUCAAAGUAUGAAGGGAGGCAUCAGUUUUCUCUGCAAAGAGCUUCAUGCCCUCAAAAGGGAGGUCUUCAACUGUAGAAUCUACCUCCUUCAGGAAGCCUAACAGAUGGAGCCAAGAUGCCCGUCACAUCACCACCAUCAUGGAGAUGGACCUAGCCACUGUGUCAGCUGCGUUGAGGGCAGAUUGUAGCAAUGUCUUUGCCACUAACUGACCCUCUUGGACA